UGGGGAAUUUUGGACAAUGGGCGAAAGCCUGAUCCAGCAAUGCCGCGUGUGUGAAGAAGGCCUUCGGGUUGUAAAGCACUUUUGUCCGGAAAGAAAUCCUUGGCUCUAAUACAGUCGGGGGAUGACGGUACCGGAAGAAUAAGCACCGGCUAACUACGUGCCAGCAGCCGCGGUAAUACGUAGGGUGCAAGCGUUAAUCGGAAUUACUGGGCGUAAAGCGUGCGCAGGCGGUUUGCUAAGACCGAUGUGAAAUCCCCGGGCUCAACCUGGGAACUGCAUUGGUGACUGGCAGGCUAGAGUAUGGCAGAGGGGGGUAGAAUUCCACGUGUAGCAGUGAAAUGCGUAGAGAUGUGGAGGAAUACCGAUGGCGAAGGCAGCCCCCUGGGCCAAUACUGACGCUCAUGCACGAAAGCGUGGGGAGCAAACAGGAUUAGAUACCCUGGUAGUCCACGCCCUAAACGAUGUCAACUAGUUGUUGGGGACUUCAUUUCCUUAGUAACGUAGCUAACGCGUGAAGUUGACCGCCUGGGGAGUACGGUCGCAAGAUUAAAACUCAAAGGAAUUGACGGGGUCAUAGCUGUUUCCU
rnacentral:rRNA from 1 species